rnacentral:rRNA from 1 species
UGUCUGAAUGGGGGAACCCAACCAUCAUAAGAUGGUUAUCUUGUACUGAAUACAUAGGUGCAAGAGGCGAACCAGGGGAACUGAAACAUCUAAGUACCCUGAGGAAAAGAAAUCAACCGAGAUUCCCUUAGUAGUGGCGAGCGAACGGGGACCAGCCCUUAAGUUGGUUUGAGAUUAGUGGAACGCUCUGGAAAGUGCGGCCAUAGUGGGUGAUAGCCCCGUACACGAAAAUCUCUUGUCAAUGAAAUCGAGUAGGACGGAGCACGAGAAACUUUGUCUGAAUAUGGGGGGACCAUCCUCCAAGGCUAAAUACUACUGACUGACCGAUAGUGAACCAGUACCGUGAGGGAAAGGCGAAAAGAACCCCGGAGAGGGGAGUGAAAUAGAACCUGAAACCGUAUGCGUACAAGCAGUGGGAGCAGACUUUGUUCUGUGACUGCGUACCUUUUGUAUAAUGGGUCAGCGACUUAUUUUCAGUGGCGAGCUUAACCGAAUAGGGGAGGCGUAGCGAAAGCGAGUCUUAAUAGGGCGUCUAGUCGCUGGGAAUAGACCCGAAACCGGGCGAUCUAUCCAUGGGCAGGUUGAAGGUUAGGUAACACUGACUGGAGGACCGAACCGACUACCGUUGAAAAGUUAGCGGAUGACCUGUGGAUCGGAGUGAAAGGCUAAUCAAGCUCGGAGAUAGCUGGUUCUCCUCGAAAGCUAUUUAGGUAGCGCCUCAUGUAUCACUGUAGGGGGUAGAGCACUGUUUCGGCUAGGGGGUCAUCCCGACUUACCAAACCGAUGCAAACUCCGAAUACCUACAAGUGCCGAGCAUGGGAGACACACGGCGGGUGCUAACGUCCGUCGUGAAAAGGGAAACAACCCAGACCGUCAGCUAAGGUCCCAAAGUCAUGGUUAAGUGGGAAACGAUGUGGGAAGGCUUAGACAGCUAGGAGGUUGGCUUAGAAGCAGCCACCCUUUAAAGAAAGCGUAAUAGCUCACUAGUCGAGUCGGCCUGCGCGGAAGAUGUAACGGGGCUCAAACCAUACACCGAAGCUACGGGUAUCACGUAAGUGAUGCGGUAGAGGAGCGUUCUGUAAGCCUGUGAAGGUGAGUUGAGAAGCUUGCUGGAGGUAUCAGAAGUGCGAAUGCUGACAUGAGUAACGACAAUGGGUGUGAAAAACACCCACGCCGAAAGACCAAGGUUUCCUGCGCAACGUUAAUCGACGCAGGGUUAGUCGGUCCCUAAGGCGAGGCUGAAAAGCGUAGUCGAUGGAAAACAGGUUAAUAUUCCUGUACUUCCAGUUAUUGCGAUGGAGGGACGGAGAAGGUUAGGCCAGCCUGGCGUUGGUUGUCCAGGUUUAAGGUGGUAGGCUGAAAUCUUAGGCAAAUCCGGGAUUUCAAGGCCGAGAGCUGAUGACGAGUUGCCUUUAGGCGACGAAGUGGUUGAUACCAUGCUUCCAAGAAAAGCUCCUAAGCUUCAGAUAACUGGGAACCGUACCCCAAACCGACACAGGUGGUUAGGUAGAGAAUACCAAGGCGCUUGAGAGAACUCGGGUGAAGGAACUAGGCAAAAUGGCACCGUAACUUCGGGAGAAGGUGCGCCGGCGAGGGUGAAGGACUUGCUCCGUAAGCCCAUGCCGGUCGAAGAUACCAGGCCGCUGCGACUGUUUAUUAAAAACACAGCACUCUGCAAACACGAAAGUGGACGUAUAGGGUGUGACGCCUGCCCGGUGCCGGAAGGUUAAUUGAUGGGGUUAGCUAACGCGAAGCUCUUGAUCGAAGCCCCGGUAAACGGCGGCCGUAACUAUAACGGUCCUAAGGUAGCGAAAUUCCUUGUCGGGUAAGUUCCGACCUGCACGAAUGGCGUAACGAUGGCGGCGCUGUCUCCACCCGAGACUCAGUGAAAUUGAAAUCGCUGUGAAGAUGCAGUGUAUCCGCGGCUAGACGGAAAGACCCCGUGAACCUUUACUAUAGCUUUGCACUGGACUUUGAAUUUGCUUGUGUAGGAUAGGUGGGAGGCUUUGAAGUGGGGACGCCAGUUCUCAUGGAGCCAUCCUUGAAAUACCACCCUGGCAACUUUGAGGUUCUAACUCAGGUCCGUUAUCCGGAUCGAGGACAGUGUAUGGUGGGUAGUUUGACUGGGGCGGUCUCCUCCUAAAGAGUAACGGAGGAGUACGAAGGUGCGCUCAGACCGGUCGGAAAUCGGUCGUAGAGUAUAAAGGCAAAAGCGCGCUUGACUGCGAGACAGACACGUCGAGCAGGUACGAAAGUAGGUCUUAGUGAUCCGGUGGUUCUGUAUGGAAGGGCCAUCGCUCAACGGAUAAAAGGUACUCCGGGGAUAACAGGCUGAUACCGCCCAAGAGUUCAUAUCGACGGCGGUGUUUGGCACCUCGAUGUCGGCUCAUCACAUCCUGGGGCUGAAGCCGGUCCCAAGGGUAUGGCUGUUCGCCAUUUAAAGUGGUACGCGAGCUGGGUUUAGAACGUCGUGAGACAGUUCGGUCCCUAUCUGCCGUGGACGUUUGAGAUUUGAGAGGGGCUGCUCCUAGUACGAGAGGACCGGAGUGGACGAACCUCUGGUGUUCCGGUUGUCACGCCAGUGGCAUUGCCGGGUAGCUAUGUUCGGAAGAGAUAAGUGC